rnacentral:rRNA from 2 species
GGCGAUUUACUGGAACACAAUUGACGUGAGAUGCGAAAGCGUGGGGAGCAAACAGGAUGAGAUACCCUGGUAGUCCACGCCCUAAACGAUGUACACUAGUUGUUGUGAGACUAGAUCUUGCAGUAAUGCAGUUAACACAUUAAGUGUACCGCCUGGGGAGUACGGUCGCAAGAUUAAAACUCAAAGGAAUAGACGGGGACCCGCACAAGCGGUGGAGCAUGUGGUUUAAUUCGACGAUACACGAAGAACCUUACCUGGACUUGACAUAGUAAGAACUUUCUAGAGAUAGAUUGGUGUCUGCUUGCAGAAACUUAUAUACAGGUGCUGCACGGCUGUCGUCAGCUCGUGUCGUGAGAUGUUGGGUUAAGUCCCGCAACGAGCGCAACCCUCGUGUUUAGUUGCUAACAGUUCGGCUGAGAACUCUAAACAGACCGCCUACGCAAGUAGGAGGAAGGUGAGGACGACGUCAAGUCAUCAUGGCCCUUACGUCCAGGGCUACACACGUGCUACAAUGGGAUAUACAAAGAGCGGGCAAUACGGUGACGUGGAGCAAAUCUUAUAAAAUAUCUCCCAGUUCGGAUUGUAGUCUGCAACUCGACUACAUGAAGCUGGAAUCGCUAGUAAUCGUAGAUCAGCUAUGCU